GUGAGCUGAUGCUGAUGUGACUCUAGCAACAUCUGUCCAGGUGUUUCUCUGCUAUGGAUCAGAGUGAGGACAGAGAGGAGGGAGUCCCUCCCUCUAAAAGCUCUCUGUGUGGGGAACAUGACAGCCAGACCAAAGCUCAGAGGACAAAGAAGCAGCUCAGACCUGAACCUGAACCUGAACCUGGACCUGAACCUGGACCUGGACCUGAACCCAGCUGUGU